rnacentral:rRNA from 1 species
CUACGGGUGGCAGCAGUGGGGAAUAUUGCACAAUGGAGGAAACUCUGAUGCAGCAACGCCGCGUGGAGGAUGACACUUUUCGGAGCGUAAACUCCUUUUAUAUAGGAAGAUAAUGACGGUACUAUAUGAAUAAGCACCGGCUAACUCCGUGCCAGCAGCCGCGGUAAUACGGAGGGUGCAAGCGUUACUCGGAAUCACUGGGCGUAAAGAGCGUGUAGGCGGAUAGAUAAGUCAGGAGUGAAAUCCUAUGGCUCAACCAUAGAACUGCUCUUGAAACUGUCUAUCUAGAAUAUGGGAGAGGUAGAUGGAAUUUCUGGUGUAGGGGUAAAAUCCGUAGAGAUCAGAAGGAAUACCGAUUGCGAAGGCGAUCUACUGGAACAUUAUUGACGCUGAGACGCGAAAGCGUGGGGAGCAAACAGGAUUAGAUACCCUUGUAGUC